rnacentral:lncRNA from 1 species
GCCAAAGAAAAGGUGAUUUCUAAUGAUAUGACCACCGAGACCAAAAUCCAGAAAUACUGCUGCCAUUCAGAUCUUCACUGCAUUCUGCCUAGCGCUUUCUGUUGUGUCCCCGACUGCUGCCCCGUCCCGUCCCCGUGUCCCCCUGCCACUCCCGCGUCCCCAUGUCCCUGUGUCCCCCCCCGCUGUCCCUGCGUCCCCGUGUCCUGCGUCCCCUUGUCCCUGCGUGCCGCUGCCGUUCCUGUGUCCCCUUGUUCCCAUGUCCUGUGUCCCCGUGUCCCGUAUCCCCGUGUCCCUGUAUCUUAUGUCCCCAUGUCCCCGUGGUGUCCUUGUGUCCUGUGUCCCUGUGUCCCAUGUCCCUGUGGUGUCGUGUCCUGUGACCCUGUGGCAUCCCUGUGCCCUGUGUCCCCGUGGUGUCCCCGUGUCCCCAUGUCUCGUGUCCCUGUGCCCCCGUGGUGUUCCUGUGUCCCCAUGGUGUCCCCGUGUCCCUGUGUCCCCGUGGUGUCCUUGUGUCCUGUGUCCCUGUGCCCCGUGUCCCCAUGGUGUCCCCGUGUCUCGUGUCCCCAUGGUGUGUCUGUGUCCCCAUGGUAUCCCUGUGGUGUCCCCGUGGUGUCCCCAUCGUGUCCCCGUGUCUCGUGUCCCCAUGGUGUCUCCGUGUCCCCGUGAUGUCCCCGUGGUGUCCCCGUGGUGUCCCCGUGUCUCAUGUCCCCUGUCUUAUGUCCCCGUGGUGUCCCCGUGCCCUGCGGUGUCCCCAUGGUGUCCCUGUGUCCCAUGUCCCCGUGUCCCUUGUCUCUGUGCCCCUGUGGUGUCCUUGUGUCUCGUGUCCCCAUGGUGUCUCAUGUCCCCAUGGUGUCUCUGUGUCUCGUGUCCCCCUGGUGUCCCCAUGGUGUCCCCGUGUCUCGUGUCCCUGCGGUGUCUCCCGUGGUGUCCCCACGGUGUCCCUGUGGUGUCUCCGUGUCCCCCGUGGUGUCCCCAUGGUGUCCCCGUGGUGUCCCCAUGGCGUCCCCGUGUCUUGUGUCCCCGUGGUGUCUCUGUGUCCCCGUGGUGUCCCCAUGGUGUCCCCGUGGUGUCCCCAUGGCGUCCCCGUGUCGUCUCCCUGUCCCCGUCGUGUCCCCAUGGUGUCCCCUUGUCUCGUGUCCCCGUGGUGUCUCUGUGUCCCCGUGGUGUCCCCAUGGCGUCCCCGUGUCUUGUGUCCCCGUGGUGUCUCUGUGUCCCCGUGAUGUCCCCAUGGUGUCCCUGUGUCUCACCAUGUCCCCGUGGUGUCCCCGUGUCUCGUGUCCCCGUUGUGUCUCUGUGUCCCCGUGGUGUCCCCAUGGCGUCCCCGUGUCUUGUGUCCUCGUGGUGUCCCCAUGGUGUCCCCGUGUCUCGUGUCCCUGCGGUGUCUCCCGUGGUGUCCCCACGGUGUCCCUGUGGUGUCUCCGUGUCCCCCGUGGUGUCCCCAUGGUGUCCCCGUGGUGUCCCCAUGGCGUCCCCGUGUCUUGUGUCCUCGUGGUGUCCCCAUGGUGUCCCCGUGUCUCGUGUCCCUGCGGUGUCUCCGUGUCCCCAUGAUGUCCCCAUGGUGUCUCCACGGUGUUCCAUGUCCCCGUGGUGUCCCCGUGUCCUCGUGGUGUCUCUGUGUCCCCGUGAUGUCCCCAUGGUGUCCCUGUGUCUCAUGUCCCCAUGGUGUCCCCGUGUCUCGUGUCCCCGUGGUGUCUCUGUGUCCCCGUGGUGUCCCCAUGGCGUCCCCGUGUCUUGUGUCCUUGUGGUGUCCCCAUGGUGUCCCCGUGUCUCGUGUCCCUGCGGUGUCUCCGUGUCCCCAUGAUGUCCCCAUGGUGUCUCCACGGUGUUCCAUGUCCCCGUGGUGUCCCCGUGUCCUCGUGGUGUCUCUGUGUCCCCGUGAUGUCCCCAUGGUGUCCCCGCGGUGUUCCAUGUCCCCGUGGUGUCCCCGUGUCNNNNNNNNNNNNNNNNNNNNNNNNNNNNNNNNNNNNNNNNNNNNNNNNNNNNNNNNNNNNNNNNNNNNNNNNNNNNNNNNNNNNNNNNNNNN